GGCCUCGUAGCUCAGUUGGCUAGAGCGUUGGCUGGCGUGGUUUCGAAUCCCACCGAGGCUG
rfam:Schistocephalus solidus strain NST_G2 genome assembly, scaffold: SSLN_scaffold0000073